AACGAACGCUGGCGGCAUGCCUAACACAUGCAAGUCGAACGAGACCUUCGGGUCUAGUGGCGCACGGGUGCGUAACGCGUGGGAAUCUGCCCUUGGGUUCGGAAUAACAGUUGGAAACGACUGCUAAUACAGGAUGAUGACGUAAGUCCAAAGAUUUAUCGCCCAAGGAUGAGCCCGCGUAGGAUUAGCUAGUUGGUGAGGUAAAGGCUCACCAAGGCGACGAUCCUUAGCUGGUCUGAGAGGAUGAUCAGCCACACUGGGACUGAGACACGGCCCAGACUCCUACGGGAGGCAGCAGUGGAGAAUAUUGUACAAUGGGCGAAAGCCUGAUCCAGCAAUGCCGCGUGAGUGAUGAAGGCCUUAGGGUUGUAAAGCUCUUUUACCCGGGAUGAUAAUGACAGUACCGGGAGAAUAAGCUCCGGCUAACUCCGUG
rnacentral:rRNA from 1 species